rnacentral:rRNA from 1 species
UACGUAGGGUGCGAGCGUUAAUCGGAAUUACUGGGCGUAAAGCGUGCGCAGGCGGCUAUUUAAGCUUGCUGUGAAAGCCCCGGGCUUAACCUGGGAACUGCAGUGAGGACUGGAUGGCUGGAGUAUGGCAGAGGGGGGUAGAAUUCCACGUGUAGCAGUGAAAUGCGUAGAGAUGUGGAGGAAUACCGAUGGCGAAGGCAGCCCCCUGGGCCAAUACUGACGCUCAUGCACGAAAGCGUGGGGAGCAAACAGG